CUCUCUCACAUGUCUCAUUCCUGCCCACACGCUUCUCUCUCUCACCAGCGCCAGGCUGCGCCGCCUCCGCCCCACCGCCUACAGGCCGCGCCGCCUCCGCCCCACCGCCUGCAGGCCGCGCCGCCUCCGCCCCACCGCCUGCAGGCCGCGCCGCCGCCCCGGCUCGGCACCGACAGCAGGCCACGCCGCCGCCGUGCCACCGCCCCGGCUCGCGCCACCGCCCUGGCUCGGCACCACCGCCCCGGCUCGGCACCGACAGCGGGUCGCGCCGCCGCCCCUGCUCGCCAACCCCAGCGGUUCAAACAUUAGCUCGUUUUCACUGCUACUGCAUUGGGUUCUGCAUAGUUCUUCCUUGGUUGUUUGAUGUAAACCACAGCUGGGGAGCUUAGCUGUAUAGAACUGAUUUCACGUGUUUGUUGACGAGUUUAGCUGCAUAGGUACCGAUGAGUUUGUCCUGAACAGAAAUUUUAUUUGGAUUCAGUUCGGUGAGCUCUUAAUUGUGUCCUACCCACAUCCCUCUGCAUCCCUCUGCAGGGUGCAAGAACUGUGCUAACGUGUGUUCUAAGGUCUUCCAAAUCGAGGAUGAUUUCGGACGGGCAAGAGUUUACGACCAAUCAGGCAGCACAGAACUGAUUCAAGAAGCUAUUGACAGUUGGCAAGUUCACGCUGGGAGAAAAGACAAGCCAAAGUCCUGGAGAAGGUAAGAAGGCGGAUGAGCCAAGAUGAUUCCAGAAAGGGUGGCUCAUGGAGUGACAUCUGGGGAGCACCAACAAGAUACGAGAAGAACGGUACAUCCCAUUACUAAAGGAGACAUUUAUGUUCCCACAAAGCUUGGGCAUUUUAGGUGGAAAACCUGGUACAUCAACACACAUUGCUGGGGUACAGGAUGAUAGGGCUCUCUACCUAGAUCCCCAUGAAGUUUAGAUGGUAAUAGAAUAAACAUAGAAGGCGCUUUCAGUUUGCCGUGUUCCGCAAGGAAGAGAGCUAGUUAUAGAUCUUUCUGAGUGUACAGUUUAUUUGGAGGGGAGAAGGAUAAAGAUGAGAAUGGCGAUGAAGCGCCAUCGAAAGUAUUGGCAAAUAUUAAGUGGCCUGAAACACUCGAGACUGAUUUUAUCUACAGUGAGAAAACAAUCAAUUUUCCUAUACUGAAAUAGUUACUCCUUCCAUACCAAAUUAUAAGUCGUUCUAGCUUUUUUAGGCUCAGUUUUUGUUAUCCAUCUAGAUAUACACUAUGCCUUGGUAUUAUUUUUUAGAUGUUUCUUGCUUGGGUAAAAUUAUUUUAUAGGUGCUUUAUCAUUUGGGACUUCAAUUAAUCCACAGUUCAUUGCAAGCUUUGCUUCUGCUGCUGGUAAACGUCCUCAUCAAGAUUUCGACUCUCAAGAAUCUGAUCCAGAGGCAAUUCUUAACUGUUUGCUGAAGCUUACUGUAUUCUAGAAAAUCACUGGAAUAUGUAUAUCUUUUCUUGAUGGACAUAACCACUUAAGUGUUCCUUAAUUUUCGUAGUGGGGUUGGUGGAUAGCAAACCAUGAGCUGAAGAAGCCAUCAAUUAGUCUGUUGUUUCCAACAAUCAUCCUCCUCAGUCGCCGCCAUCAACAGCAGCAGCAGCGAUGCUAAAUAGUAGUGGUGGAUCUGGUUCUAACUACUCUGGUGGCGAGAUCCUACCUCCACCAUUUUUUUAUCUUUAUUAUCUGUGAUUCUGCAAUCCACAUGUUUGAUUUUUUACUUAGUUUCUCUUUGAGACCGGUCGCCAUGUUUGGUUAGCACAUCUAGAAUGCAUUACAAUUGGAGGCAAUAGCUGUUCACUAUCCACUAUAACCUGAAAGCUUAGCUGUUCAACUGAGCUUUCUGAUUCUUCCAUUUUUUUCCAUUCAAGUAUAUGAUAUUCUUGUGUGCUAUUCAAUAUUACAAAUAACAAAUUUGCAUAUGAGAAUAAUUAAGUAAAUUUGGCCACCUAAUCAGUAGGAUUGUUUGGUUGGAGGAAUUUUUGUAGCAUGUGAAACUUGAGCUAAUUAGAAAGCAACCACUACCUUCUCUUCAGCAUGAAAAAAUAGCUUAGCCAUUUCUUAGAGUUAAGCCCUUAGCCACUUGCUGGCCUUAUCGUCUGGAAGAAGAAAUGGUACUCAACUGCUGGUCUCUUUGGCAAAUUUUUCUUUGCACUUUUCUUGUUCGAACUGGCAAUCCACAACCAAGUACCUUGCUUGCACCAACAAAAGUCCCUUCUACUGUAGGGCAAUCCAUGGAUUUAUUGCUUGUCCUGAAAUUUGAUAGAGGCAUUCAUGAUAUCAGUUGCUCGUUAAUUCCAUUUGUUUCUUGUUCUCUUGUGCAUUGUUAUGACAUAUUUGCACCUUUUGCGGGGAACGAUCGACCAACAAUGGAGUGGCCCACUAGAUUAAAGAUCGCUCUGUGUGCUGCCAAGGGUUUAGCUCAUCUUCAUGAAGACUGUCAUCCAAAGAUCAUCCACCGCGACAUUAAGGCAUCUAACAUUCUUCUUGACUUCAAAUUUGAAUAUAAGGUUGCUGACUUUGGACUUGCAAAGUUCACUACUAAUAAUAACACCCAUGUUUCAACAAGAGUAAUGGGCACCUUUGGGUAUUUGGCACCUGAGUAUGCAGCGUCUGGCAAGCUCACAGAAAAAUUUGAUGUAUUUUCUUUCGGAGUCAUGCUUCUUGAGCUUAUUACUGGGCGGCGACCAAUUGACACAACCCAAUUGGCACUGCUUGCUAUAAGCACAUAUGUACUUCCAUUUGCAUGUUGUAUAAUACUAAUACCAAUUGCAAAAUUAUAGUUAUUUUUUCUACCCUUGUUAGUUAAUAAGCAUAUUUCUGGUCAAUAGGUUGUAUUCUUAUUCUUGUAACCGUGUUAAUUAAUGUUAUGGACUUGUAGUCUUGUAUUACCUUGUGAAUAUAUCUGUCCCUGCCUGCCA